AUAUAGGUCAAGCUACAAAGGGCGCAUGGUGAAUGCCUUGGCAUCAGGAGCCGAUGAAGGACGUGAUAAGUCGCGAUAAGCUUCGGGUAGGCGCACAUAGCCUGAGAUCCGAAGAUCUCCGAAUGAGGAAACUCACAUGGGAAACCCCAUGUAUCAUUAAGUGAAUACAUAGCUUAAUGAAGGUAACCCAGGGAACUGAAACAUCUAAGUACCUGGAGGAAGAGAAAGAAAAAUCGAUUUUCUUAGUAGCGGCGAGCGAAAGGGAAAGAGCCCAAACCGGAAACUUGUUUCCGGGGUUGUGGACAUAACAUAAAAGUGGAGGCUAUUGUAACUGAAGAGAACUGGAAAGUUCCACCGUAGAAGGUAAUAGUCCUGUAAGUGAAACGAGAAGACCACGAGUUAUGAUCCAGAGUACCACGAGACACGUGAAACCUUGUGGGAAGCAGGGAGGACCACCUCCCAAGGCUAAAUACUACCUGAUGACCGAUAGUGAAGCAGUACCGUGAGGGAAAGGUGAAAAGAACCCCCGGGAGGGGAGUGAAAUAGAACCUGAAACCGUGUGCCUACAACCGCUCAGAGCCCCUUAUGAGGGUGAUGAGGUGCUUUUUGUAGAACGAGCCAACGAGUUACGGUAUGUAGCAAGGUUAAGUACUUAAGGUACGGAGCCGAAGGGAAACCGAGUCUGAAUAGGGCGACUAGUUGCAUGCCGUAGACCCGAAACCGGGUGACCUAUCCAUGGCCAGGUUGAAGCGAGGGUAAAACCUCGUGGAGGACCGAACCACGUUGCUGUUGAAAAAGCAUGGGAUGAGCUGUGGAUAGCGGAGAAAUUCCAAUCGAACCCGGAGAUAGCUGGUUCUCUCCGAAAUAGCUUUAGGGCUAGCGUCGAGUAUGAGUAGUGGAGGUAGAGCACUGAAUGGGCUAGGGGGCAUAGCGCUUACCGAACCUUAUCAAACUCCGAAUGCCACAUACUUUGAGCUCGGCAGUCAGACUACGAAUGAUAAGAUCCGUGGUCAAAAGGGAAACAGCCCAGAUCGUCAGCUAAGGUCCCAAAGUGUAAGUUAAGUGGGAAAGGAUGUGAGAUUUCUAAGACAACUAGGAUGUUGGCUUAGAAGCGACCAUUCAUUAAAAGAGUGCGUAAUAGCUCACUAGUCGAGAGAUCUUGCGCCGAAAAUGUAACGGGGCUAAACUUACCACCGAAGCUACGGGCUUGAACUUAGUUCAAGCGGUAGGAGAGCGUCGUAACCGGGCUGAAGUCGUACCGUAAGGAGCGGUGGACUGGUUACGAGUGAGAAUGUUGGCAUCAGUAGCGAGAUGUGGGUGAGAAUCCCACAGGCCGAAAACCUAAGGUUUCCUCAGGAAGGUUCGUCCGCUGAGGGUUAGUCGGGACCUAAGCCGAGGCCGAAAGGCGUAGGUGAUGGACAACUGGUUGAUAUUCCAGUACCACUACCAUCGUUAUUAUCGAUGGCGUGACGCAGGAGGAUAGUGUGUGCUAGCUAUUGGAUGCUAGUCUAAGCGUUUAGGCAGUGAGAGUAGGCAAAUCCGCUCUCAUAAUGCUGAGGCGUGAUGGGGAAGGUUCCACGGAACCGAAGUACAUGAUUCCACGCCGCCAAGAAAAGCGUCUAGAGAGAGAAGUAGUGCCCGUACCGCAAACCGACACAGGUAGGUGAGGAGAGAAUCCUAAGGCCGGCGGAAGAAUUACAGUUAAGGAACUCGGCAAAUUGACCCCGUAAGUUCGCGAGAAGGGGUGCCUACGAGAGUAGGCCGCAGAGAAUAGGCCCAAGCAACUGUUUAGCAAAAACACAGGUCUCUGCUAAAGCGUAAGCUGAUGUAUAGGGGCUGACGCCUGCCCGGUGCUGGAAGGUUAAGGGGAACACUUAGCGCAAGCGAAGGUGUGAACUUAAGCCCCAGUAAACGGCGGCCGUAACUAUAACGGUCCUAAGGUAGCGAAAUUCCUUGUCAGGUAAGUUCUGACCCGCACGAAUGGCGUAAUGACUUGGGCACUGUCUCAACUGUAAAUCCGGCGAAGUUGUAGUGCGAGUGAAGAUGCUCGCUACCCGCGAUUGGACGGAAAGACCCCCCGUAGAGCUUUACUGUAGCUUAGCAUUGAGUUUUGGUAUUGUCUGUACAGGAUAGGUGGGAGACUAGGAAACCAGGGCGUCAGCCUUGGUGGAGUCAACCUUGGGAUACCACCCUGACAGUACUGAAAUUCUAACUGGCGGCCAUGAAUCUGGUCACAGGACAUUGUUAGGUGGGCAGUUUGACUGGGGCGGUCGCCUCCUAAAAAGUAACGGAGGCGCCCAAAGGUUCCCUCAGAACGGUCGGAAAUCGUUCGAAGAGUGCAAAGGCAGAAGGGAGCCUGACUGCGACACCCACAAGUGGAGCAGGGACGAAAGUCGGGCUUAGUGAUCCGGUGGUACCUCGUGGGAGGGCCAUCGCUCAACGGAUAAAAGCUACCUCGGGGAUAACAGGCUGAUCUCCCCCAAGAGUCCACAUCGACGGGGAGGUUUGGCACCUCGAUGUCGGCUCGUCGCAUCCUGGGGCUGAAGUAGGUCCCAAGGGUUGGGCUGUUCGCCCAUUAAAGCGGCACGCGAGCUGGGUUCAGAACGUCGUGAGACAGUUCGGUCCCUAUCCGUCGCGGGCGUAGGAAAUUUGAGAGGAGCUGUCCUUAGUACGAGAGGACCGGGAUGGACUGACCUCUGGUGUACCAGUUGUUCCGCCAGGAGCACAGCUGGGUAGCUAAGUCGGGAAUGGAUAAACGCUGAAAGCAUCUAAGCGUGAAGCCAACCUCAAGAUGAGAUUUCCCAUAGCGUAAGCUAGUAAGAUCCCUUGAAGAACACAAGGUUGAUAGGUCGGGGGUGUAAGCAUGGUAACAUGUUCAGCUGACCGAUACUAAUAGAUCGAGGGCUUGACCAAAU
rnacentral:rRNA from 1 species